UGCAGUCGACGCUUCUUUUUCCCCGGAGCUUGCUCCACCGGAAAAAGAGGAGUGGCGAACGGGUGAGUAACACGUGGGUAACCUGCCCAUCAGAAGGGGAUAACACUUGGAAACAGGUGCUAAUACCGUAUAACAAUCAAAACCGCAUGGUUUUGAUUUGAAAGGCGCUUUCGGGUGUCGCUGAUGGAUGGACCCGCGGUGCAUUAGCUAGUUGGUGAGGUAACGGCUCACCAAGGCCACGAUGCAUAGCCGACCUGAGAGGGUGAUCGGCCACAUUGGGACUGAGACACGGCCCAAACUCCUACGGGAGGCAGCAGUAGGGAAUCUUCGGCAAUGGACGAAAGUCUGACCGAGCAACGCCGCGUGAGUGAAGAAGGUUUUCGGAUCGUAAAACUCUGUUGUUAGAGAAGAACAAGGAUGAGAGUAACUGUUCAUCCCUUGACGGUAUCUAACCAGAAAGCCACGGCUAACUACGUGCCAGCAGCCGCGGUAAUACGUAGGUGGCAAGCGUUGUCCGGAUUUAUUGGGCGUAAAGCGAGCGCAGGCGGUUUCUUAAGUCUGAUGUGAAAGCCCCCGGCUCAACCGGGGAGGGUCAUUGGAAACUGGGAGACUUGAGUGCAGAAGAGGAGAGUGGAAUUCAUGUGUAGCGGUGAAAUGCGUAGAUAUAUGGAGGAACACCAGUGGCGAAGGCGGCUCUCUGGUCUGUAACUGACGCUGAGGCUCGAAAGCGU
rnacentral:rRNA from 1 species